rnacentral:rRNA from 1 species
UACAGAGGUCUCAAGCGUUGUUCGGAUUCAUUGGGCGUAAAGGGUGCGUAGGCGGUGAGGUAAGUUGGAUGUGAAAUCCCGGGGCUUAACCCCGGAACUGCAUUCAAUACUGCCUUGCUAGAGUACUGGAGAGGAGAGUGGAAUUCACGGUGUAGCAGUGAAAUGCGUAGAUAUCGUGAGGAAGACCAGUGGCGAAGGCGAAUCUCUGGACAGUAACUGACGCUGAGGCACGAAGGCUAGGGGAGCAAACGGG